rnacentral:lncRNA from 1 species
CCAUGGAGCAUCAGGCCUUGGACCCCAUUGCGACACGCCUUAACCGACUCCAAUCGGGACCGAAAUUUGUAUGGUAUUAUUAUCUGUGACCCCAGUAUUACCGAUUGAAGAGUAUCUCAGUUAUAUGUUUGAGACCAAUUGGAGAAUCACCUAGGAGGUCAAGUUGAGGACCAGCUUUUUCUCAACUUGAGAAACAGUCUUUUUUUCAUACAAAGAAAAACUCCCGUUUUGUUGAGAACGCUUUAAGUGCGGGUGCCCUUCGUUCUAUCGAAGAAAUUUGGCGAACUGUGAAGCCCCAUUGUAUGUUAGAUUUAUUUAUGUAGUACAAAGAAUGCCGAAAGAUUGAUCUUAAUGCCGUAAGAACGCCCUAAUAGCCUCAAAGCGCUCGGGAUAUGCUAUUCUGGGCGAGCUUGGACAUUCACUAAACAUAAAAAAAGUGUCUUGGUUCUGUUAUAUUUUCCAUUCAACUGUCAGCUUGGCUUCUGCUGCUUACAUUGGACAAUUCGUCGUUUGUGGUUCGUCGUUACGCUUUUUGAUUAUCGAUUUCAUUCUUUUGUAAAUUUAUUAGUUUCUCGAGCGAAGCACAACAAAAUAUGGGUGGCAUUGGCAUGCAAAACAAUUUAUGUGCCCCAAGCGUGCCAGCGUGCAGAAAAGAAGAGGAGAAUAAUGAAUAGCGAAGAGAUGAAUGAACAAGCAGAAAGCCGUGAAGUGGAAAGUAAUUGAAGGGCUUUUUUUUUGCGCUCUCUCUCUAUAAACCAGAAUAACAGUAAAGAAUACUUUUCUUUUUGUUCGUAAUGUAGUAAUUCAAUCCAAGAUCGCAAUAUGUACGAAGAAGACAAUCCAAAGUGCAUUUAUUUGAAUAGAAACCAAGAAACGGAAGCACGAAACAAUAAAUUGCAAUAACGGAUGGCUAGAAAUGCGAGAUUUCAUUCAGCUAACUUUGCUACGAACAAUUUUUCCUUCCACAUCGAAACGAAGGCAUCACCACCCGCAAUUGUCUGUUAUGCUCGAGACUAACCACUACACCUACAUACAUAUGUACGAAUGAGCGCAGUUAUCAAUUAACCAGUUCCAAGUAUGUACCCUCUUCAGCCAAAUAGUAAACAUCUCAUCAAAAGGUCAAACACUGAUUGGCAGCUGAAUGCCCUCCCAACAGCCGUGGCAUCGUUUAUACAAAGUUGAAAAACUAAGCGCGCCUCCAACAACAACAAAGAGGCCAAGUGAUCAUGGAUCACCUUCAUAGAACACGCCGCAAAAUAAUUCGAUUAAUCAUUCGAGUGCUCAGGUUUCCGAGUAGUUUGUCUACACUUUUUUCAUUUGAAAAAAAAAAAUUAAUUUUCAACAGCAACUGGGCAGAGAUCAGCAGCAAUGCCGCCGUCACUCGCUUACUCGCUGAUGCUGAUUUGUAAAUACACCUCAGCGUAAAUUAAACAGAAAAUCUUAAUUAAUAAUUCCGUUGUGCGGCGAACAAACGGCCAGCAAGCAGGCGGACGAGCAGAGGCGCACACGGUAGGCUGCGAUCAUCAACAUCACCCAUGCGAAAAAGUGCGAUUAAAAAUGGUUGGGUAUCAGAUUAUUUGGCUUGGCUUGAAAUUUGGCCCCUGCCACAUAUCGAAUGAACAAGGCUAGUUUCGCAGUAUGGAAUCGGGGCUAUUUUAAUUAAUUUUUUGAUAUUUUUUUUUUUUAGUUGAUUGUUGAAUCGCUUUAUUAUAAACGAUCUGCAAGUACAUACAUAUGUAUGUAUGUAAAUAUAUGUAAAUAUUUUUCCAAUUGCAACAAA